GACAGAGGGUGCAAACGUUGUUCGGAAUUACUGGGCGUAAAGGGCGCGUAGGCGGCCAGAUAAGUCAGCUGUGAAAUCCCGGGGCUCAACUCCGGACGUGCAUUUGAAACUAUUUGGCUAGAGUACAGUAGAGGUUGGUGGAAUUCCCAGUGUAGAGGUGAAAUUCGUAGAUAUUGGGAGGAACACCGGUGGCGAAGGCGGAUCUCUGGACCAGUUCUGACACUGAUGAGCGAAAGCCAGGGGAGCAAACAGG
rnacentral:rRNA from 1 species